CCCAGUUGUAGGCAAUUGCCUAGGCUGCCUUGUACCUAGGCAAGUGUUAUACUGCUGGGAGAAAAGAAGCUAGUAACUGGCAGGCAUU
ensembl:snoRNA SNORA74 Small nucleolar RNA SNORA74